GAUGAACGCUAGCGGCAGGCCUAACACAUGCAAGUCGAGGGGGAGGUUACUUUCGGGUAACUGAGACCGGCGUACGGGUGCGUAACGCGUAUACAAUCUGCCUUUCACUGGGGGAUAGCCCGAAGAAAUUUGGAUUAAUACCCCAUAGUAUAGUAGUGUGGCAUCACACAACUAUUAAAGCCUUGGUGGUGAAAGAUGAGUAUGCGUUCUAUUAGCUAGUUGGAGAGGUAACGGCUCCCCAAGGCGAUGAUAGAUAGGGGUUCUGAGAGGGAUGUCCCCCACACUGGUACUGAGAUACGGACCAGACUCCUACGGGAGGCAGCAGUGAGGAAUAUUGGACAAUGGUCGGAAGACUGAUCCAGCCAUGCCGCGUGCAGGAUGAAGGUCUUAUGGAUUGUAAACUGCUUUUGUAAGGGAAGAAUAAGGACUACGUGUAGUUUGAUGACGGUACCUUACGAAUAAGCAUCGGCUAACUCCGUGCCAGCAGCCGCGGUAAUACGGAGGAUGCGAGCGUUAUCCGGAAUCAUUGGGUUUAAAGGGUCUGUAGGCGGGCUGGUAAGUCAGAGGUGAAAGCGCUUAGCUCAACUAAGCAACUGCCUUUGAAACUGUUGGUCUUGAAUGGUUGUGAAGUAGUUGGAAUGUGUAGUGUAGCGGUGAAAUGCUUAGAUAUUACACAGAACACCGAUAGCGAAGGCAUAUUACUAACAAUUGAUUGACGCUGAUGGACGAAAGCGUGGGGAGCGAACAGG
rnacentral:rRNA from 1 species